AAAUAGAUAUUGAAAAAAGCAUCCUGGUUACCACCUGGGUUUGACUCUUAUUUGGAUAUCCCAUCCUUUUUCCUGUAACUUGCAUAAUGGGUCUGAAGGUAUUCCCACAAGCAAGCCCCAAGGUUUUUUACAUUUGAAAUAGGCUUUAAUGGUGUUCAUUAUUCAUUAGCCUCCAGGUGUGGGAGAACCACUGUUGCAGAUCAAGACUAGCCAAGCUGGAGCUCUGGAUAUCAGCUGUUAUGGAUUUGAGUCAAAUCAUCUUCUUUUUGGUCUAUGGAAAUCGCUUUGGAUGAGAAGACCAAAAAGACAAUAAUGGAUUAGAUGGUGUUAACACGCGGGGUGAAUUUGGAUCUGAUGGACCUUUUAGGAUAUCAAAUAAAGGUCCCAACUCUCCUGUUGGUAUGCCUAGAUAAGGUCUUAUCCAAUUUAUGUCUCCUAAUAACUUUUGAAAGUCGUUAAGUGAUUUGAGUUGAUCUACUCAUAUUUGAAUUUUUGGUGGAUGGACCAUGGCUGAGGAUAAUAGAACUCCUAAAUAAUUAAUUGGAAGAUUUAAUUGUACUUUAUCUAUUGCUAUCUCUAGAUUAUAUUUUUUAAUAAAUUUGUAAG